AUCUCUCUCUUUCUCUUCUUGACCUCUGAUUCUUCCCUUCUCAUUUUUUUUCUCUUUCUCUCUCAGAGAUCUCUCUCUUUCUCUUCUCGACCUCUGAUUCUUCUCUUUCACUCUCUGUCUCUAUCUCUCAUCUUCUCACCAUCAACAUAUACGAAUCUGUCUUAACCCAUCAGCUCAAACGAAAUCUGUCUCCUCUAUUUCCGAAUUUGUGUAAGUUGUUUUCGUUUAGAAUCUCUCUAUUCAUCGUUGCUUCUAUCCUUAGAUCUGUUGAUAACAUUUAUUUUAUAUGUAUUUACAUACUGAUUUGUUUUUUUGGAAUGUGAAGGAAACAUGAGAUUUUAACAAGGAGACAGAAGAUUUGGCAGAGGAGUAGGAGAUGCGAUGAGCAGAUCGAACGGUGGCUCCAGCACCAGAUUGAAUCCUUGCUUCAGCAAUAGCUUCUAGAGCUAUUUGAGGAUUCUGUGUAGAAGAAGUGGUGUGUGACUGAAAGAUGGUGACGUUGGAGCGUUGUGGUGACGGAGACGACGGAUGCGCAACUGAUAUGCUGCGGUUUAUGUUUAGGUUUUGUUAAUUAGGUUUUGGUUAAUUAGGUUUGGUAUAAUGUUUUUUAAUUAAUUUUUGGUUUAAUGUGUUCUGUUGUAUUUGAUUUUUUAAUUCUGGUUUAGUGUAACAUUUAUUUGUAAUCUAAGUUUAAUUAAUAAAUAAUUUUUUUUAUU
rnacentral:lncRNA from 1 species